rnacentral:rRNA from 1 species
AUUGAACGCUGGCGGCAGGCCUAACACAUACAAGUCGAGCGAGCGGCGGACGGGUGAGUAAUGUCUGGGAAACUGCCUGAUGGAGGGGGAUAACUACUGGAAACGGUAGCUAAUACCGCAUACCAUCAGAUGUGCCCAUAUGGGAUUAGCUAGUAGGUGGGGUAAUGGCUCACCUAGGCGACGAUCCCUAGCUGGUCUGAGAGGAUGACCAGCCACACUGGAACUGAGACACGGUCCAGACUCCUACGGGAGGCAGCAGUGGGGAAUAUUGCACAAUGGGCGCAAGCCUGAUGCAGCCAUGCCGCGUGUGUGAAGAAGGCCUUAGGGUUGUAAAGUACUUUCAGCGAGGAGGCGUUACUCGCAGAAGAAGCACCGGCUAACUCCGUGCCAGCAGCCGCGGUAAUAC